GAAUUUUCUUUUAUUAAAAAAUUGACAAAUUAUCCCUCAACAAUCUUCCAACUGUUUAAAGUAUUAAAAUGAUAUAUGCUAUUUAAAAAUUAUUAGGCAUUCAUUAAAUUGGCAAGAUAUUAGAUUUCAUGUAUUCAAUAUUUUGCUUUGGUAAGAAGCAAAUUCUAUAAACUCCCUAUUGGAAUCGUGUAUUUUGGGAAUUAGAUAUUCUUGGAUGUGAGGUGCAGUUUUCUUCUAACUGCAGGGAAAAUGCUGUCUAAAAGAAAAUAAUAAAUUUGUAUCUGCUGAAUUCUCUUAGCAUAAGGCACCAACAAAACAACCUUCAGGAAGGGAGAAGAAACCAUCCUCCCACUCAUCCUUCAGAGAAUUCAGAUAAAGUGAAGAAGAAUCGUUCUCCAGCUCCUUUGGAAUUUACGCCGUCAUCAGGGGAGGCUUGUUACUGCUGGAUCCAGUGUCUGCUCAAGAAUGAAGAGACCCUGCCACAAUGAGGGACUGAGUAAUUAAUUGCCUGAAACACAUGGGUAGUCUGAAAUUUGAGCUUCUUAUAAAGGUGUGACUCACAGCUUUCUUAGAAAAAGAGCACAAAUAUCCACUGCACCAGGAACAGGGAAAUUUCCUUCCCAUCUUCUUCUCUUUCCUAUUAGGAUCUCAUUCUGUAGCCCAGGAUGAAGAGCAGUGGCAUAAUCAUAGCCCACUUCAGCUUUGACCUCUCAGUCUCAAGUGAGCCUCCCCCCUCAGCCUCCUGAGUAGCUGGGACCACAGGUGUGCACCACCAUACCCAGUAAAAGUUACAUUAAGUGUGCCUGGCUCUCCUGCUUCCCCUACCACAUCCUCCACCUCUUCCACCUCUGCCACCCCUGAGACAGCAAGACCAACCCCUCUUCCUGCUCAGCCUACUCAACUUGAAGAGGACACGGAUGAAGACCUUUAUGAUGAUCCACUUCCGCUUAAUGAAAGUUAA